GUCCUUUGAUUGGUCUAUUCUGCGUCAAAGGUCCCGUUCAUCUCUGGCAAAUUCUGUUGCAGCCUCAAUUGUACAUGUGCUUCAAUCUAUUUUCAUGUUGUUUUCUUGGGCCUUAGUGUUUUGUUUCUUGGGUGUUUGAUGAACGCUUCACAAAUUAAGCUCCUCUUAACAAUUUCAUAGGUGUCGGUUGGCCUGCAGCUCGUGUGGUUGGAGGUGCUUGUGCGAGACGAAACUUGGUGUUGACAAGGAGGCCUAACUAUGAUGCCCGUGCAAUUGAAAAUGUUUGCAAGCCAGCCUAUGAUGUCUGGUUGGAGGCCUACUUAUGAUGUCAGGUUCCGCUGAUUCUGGAAGCACACGGCCGAAUGGAAUCCAACAGAACCAAUGCUGCAUCAGGAUGCACUGUUGAAGCAUUUUGAUUGGCCCGAGAGAAAUGAGGACACUGUGUCAGACAACCUUUUGCUUACUAACCUCGAAAUAUUUGAAGUGUAAGUUUCUAACCACAAAAAUGAUCUCAUAACCUUGCUUGUCACAUUGCACCUAUGAUA